rnacentral:tRNA from 1 species
CCCGACUUAGCUCAGUCUGGCUAGAGCGGCUGACUGUAGGCCGCUGAAAUCAGCAGGCCCCCGGUUCAAAUCCGGGAGUCGGGA